rfam:Rhizopogon vinicolor AM-OR11-026 unplaced genomic scaffold K503scaffold_14, whole genome shotgun sequence.
GCCCGCCUAGCUCAAUCGGAUAGAGCGUCAGACUCUUAAUGUGCUAGGCGAUCUGAAGGCUGCGAGUUCGACCCUCGCGGUGGGCU